CUCAGGUUUGAGCUACAUCUACUUAAUCAAGAAGGUUAAAGCUAGAAUUUUCGGCAGAGUAUGAGUGGUUUGUUCCAUCAUCCUGUGAAGACCUACCCCUGAAUCGCUCCGAGAGAUGCAUUGUGGACAGCGCAGCGGGUCUAUGGACUUUCCAGUGCUCUCAGCCACUCUGUGUUGUCUCCUUCCCCCCCUCCCCGGCGAGAAUUUCUCCCAUUUUGCCCCAAGGUAAAACAAAUGAAAAGAUCACAAAUUUUGAUAAGCACUUUAUAGGAAAUAAAAGAUUGCGACUGACAUACCUGGAGAGGUACUAAUCAGACGAGGGAGGGGUCAGGAAAGGCCUCUUUGAUGCCCAGACAUUUAACUGAAAAGACCCUUCCAGGCAGAGGAAACAACACUUGCCCUAAACCUCGGAUACUAUAAGGAACUGGGGGCAGUGGUGGUGGUGGGAGGUGGUGAAGGUGGGAGAUACUGGGGCUUAAACAAAAUGAGCAAGGAGGAAGACUGAACUAUAAGGUUGAAGAAGGAGGCAGGAGCUACAUCAGGCAGGGAGGGGCUUGGAGUUCACGUCAGAGAAUAGACUUCUUCCAAAGCGCGAGGGUGCAGCAGACAUUGGAAAAUAGAGGCAAGGUCCUGAGACUUUGGUGUUUAAUAAAAACAAUUCUCUAAUGUUCUUUAGCUAAGAAUGAAUGUGAUUAUUCCUUUUCUGUUGUUUUGUUUUUAAAGUGGGGAUUGAACCCAGGGCCUUUGCAGUGAGGUACAUCCUCAGCCCUUUUUCGUUUUUUAUUUUUAGACAGGGUCUUACUAAAUUGUUAAUAUGCCUGGGUUGGACUUGAAUUUGGGGUCCAUUUUUCUUUACAUGAUCCAAGGAAUCGUGAAUUAUGUCAAAGCUAGUUAUCUUGCCACCCACAACUAAAAUGGGCUCUGAAUCCAAAUAUAAAGAUGACUUUUUGUAUGGUCUGUCGGGAGCAAUGUUACAUAAUUUUAGGGAAAAAUCAUUUGGUUAGCCUAGUUCUCCUGCCUACAGCCCAGCUAUGGUAUUCUGAGACAUAAUUCCAUUUUGGCCUCCAG
rnacentral:lncRNA from 1 species